GGUGGCGUGUGAGGAACCGCCCUUGCCUGGCUCCCUGCAGGGCAACAGUUGCUUGCCAGCUUGGGAAGGACAAAGUGAUGACUUUUUGGGGAAAAAAGAGUGAUAAUAAUAACACCUCCCUGAGUUUUGGGGUGUUUUUUUUUUUCCACACGGCGAUGCCCAGGCCUUCAUUUUCUCUCAGAAGUCGCCGCCCCUGAGGAAGGCUGAGGGUGGCUUUUCCAGGGGGUGGCAGCAUGGAGAUGCAGCAGGAGGAGUUCGGGACACCCUGGUAUAUUGAAGAUAAUGAUCCUGCUUCUGAAUGGGAGAUAAGAGAGAGACAAAGACAGAGCUGCUGGCUUUUAACUCGCAUGAAAAGCUUCAGAUACUACAGCGAUGAGGACCAUAUAUGAAGACAGAGCUGUGCUGUAAAUGGAAUCAGCAAUAUCCUGCAGCACUGGAUCCACUUCAACACUUCACGGCCUUAUCCCAGAGACCCUCCCCAGCGGGUGAGCCACGAGGCUGGACAGCGGUUGUGCAAACUCCCCAAAGAGGAGGAGGGAUGUGAGCAAGGAAAUUUGUGUUACCGAGCAGGGACAGAAACAACCGUGCUGUUGUCAUGUCCUCAUCCAGCUGUAGCGACUCAGUCUCCAUCUCGCCCUGAGGAGUUUCUCAGAUCUCCAGAAGAGGUUUCCAGCAGCCAGUGCUGCUGUCAGUGCGUGCAAGGGGCCUGGGAUGAGCACAGCAGCAUCUGCCAGGGCAGUGUUAUGCACGUCCCCUAACCACCAUCCAUGAAUCUACAACGUGUAAUCGGCUGGAAGUGAACCCUCCAGAAAACCCACAUCUGGCAAUUCCCCGGCAAGGAGUGCGGGAGGGAAAGGACACACGGGCACCCAAGGAAAUAGCUGUGCAAUAAACAUGCCCUCUCCUGACCUAAACAGCUGCGAGUUGUUGCUGCACUCGUAUCUCUGGUACUUCUCCCCAUCGCAGUGUCCUACUGUUUCAUCAGACAUCUAAGUGAUGAAGAAUAUUAUUUUCCCUCCACGAAUCCUCAGUUUCUAGAACUGCACAAGUGUAUGAAUAUCUCAGCUUUCCGCUCAAAUUAAGAAUAUAAAGUCAUGUAGCUCAACUGGUUGCAGAUGGAGUGUGCUUCAGGUUAAGUUUCUAUAAUUGCUGAAGUUGAAAGGCAAAAAAAAAGAACUCCCAGUGUUUGUUUUGUCUUUAAUCAUGCCUUUACAAAGUCAGUUUUGUGACUCCCUGGGGUUUAGCAGGAUAUUUUUGCAUAUCUAAGAGAGGCGAUGUUGCCUUCCUCCUCCCCUCUCCAUUAUUUGUCUAUUUCUUUGUGUCAGGUCCAGCUUAAGUUGUGAGCAUUCUCUGGGCUGUGGUGAUAAUUAUAUUUACUCCCCGGAGAUGAUUUUCAUUGGAUUUGCAAACAAGACAGGGCCUAUGAGAUCCUGCUGUCUUUGGCCCUCUGAUCACUUUUGAACCAUUUGCAAAUUUCAAACAAAUUUCUUUAGAGUGUGUCAGUCUCAAGGAGAAUUCAGGGAGGGUUAUUUGUGUUACCCAAAGGGACUGGCAGAAUCCUAUAUUUCUAUGGGCUUUGUAAUCAUAGGUGGCCAGAGAAAAUACUCUGAUAGUCCCACUACGGUGGGCUGCACUGUAAGGUCACCCUUAUUAGAUACCAGAAUCUGGGUGGGACACAUUGCAAACGUCCCAAGAACAGGAAAGGCUUCUCUGGGAGCUUGCAUCUUGCUGAGCAACAGAGCCUAGACCAAGAUCCACGUCCACAGGAAAUUCAGAGUACUCUACUUCCAUUGCUCACAGAAUGACCAGAGUUUUAAUAGGCUUAGAUAUUUAGCUUAUAUCUGUGCAGUGUUCCUGUCCCUGUUUAGGCGGCAUCCCUAACAUCUAUCACAUUAUUUGCCUUCCCCUGCCCUGAGAAAGGAGCAUCUGGGGGCUGGAAGUGCUAUAAAUUUUGCUGUGUGUCAGAUAGAGGAGGCGAUGUCAGAGAAACACACCUUGUGUCUGGCGUUUUGGAAAGUGCUGAACGCUCUGAUCCCUUCUCUUUCUGGAGACAGAGAUGCUUCGUGGGUGCAUGAUUCAGGUUAACUUAAUGAUUUAGCUUCUUUUACAUCGAAAUGAGCUGGUCCAGCACACCCUCCGGGAGCAGCACGGAUGACCUCAUGUCUGGAGGAGCACAGUGCGCCCUGUUCGUCUGCUUCCGGCAGGAACAAAGGCACUUUCUGAGUGUUUGCAGAUUUGAUUUUCGGCAGUGCUCAUCGUCAUUCAAAAAUAAAGAAAGAAAUCAAUAAGUAAAUUGCAGGGCUUUAUGUCUCCG